CAGCCGCCACGGUAAUACGUAGGUGGCAAGCGUUGUCCGGAAUUAUUGGGCGUAAAGGGCUCGCAGGCGGUUUCUUAAGUCUGAUGUGAAAGCCCCCGGCUCAACCGGGGAGGGUCAUUGGAAACUGGGAAACUUGAGUGCAGAAGAGGAGAGUGGAAUUCCGCGUGUAGCGGUGAAAUGCGUAGAGAUGUGGAGGAACACCAGUGGCGAAGGCGACUCUCUGGUCUGUAACUGACGCUGAGGAGCGAAAGCGUGGGGAGCGAACAGGAUUAGAUACCCCAGUAGUCCCUGUCUCUUAUAC
rnacentral:rRNA from 1 species